CGGAACGUGUCCUGUAGUGGGGGAUAGCCCGGCGAAAGCCGGAUUAAUACCGCAUACGAUCUAUGGAUGAAAGCGGGGGAUCUUCGGACCUCGUGCUAUAGGGGCGGCCGAUGGCAGAUUAGCUAGUUGGUGGGGUAAAGGCUCACCAAGGCGACGAUCUGUAGCUGGUCUGAGAGGACGACCAGCCACACUGGGACUGAGACACGGCCCAGACUCCUACGGGAGGCAGCAGUGGGGAAUUUUGGACAAUGGGGGCAACCCUGAUCCAGCAAUGCCGCGUGUGUGAAGAAGGCCUUCGGGUUGUAAAGCACUUUUGUCCGGAAAGAAAUCCUUUUGGCUAAUAUCCGAAGGGGAUGACGGUACCGGAAGAAUAAGCACCGGCUAACUACGUGCCAGCAGCCGCGGUAAUACGUAGGGUGCGAGCGUUAAUCGGAAUUACUGGGCGUAAAGCGUGCGCAGGCGGUUCGCUAAGACCGAUGUGAAAUCCCCGGGCUUAACCUGGGAACUGCAUUGGUGACUGGCGGGCUAGAGUAUGGCAGAGGGGGGUAGAAUUCCACGUGUAGCAGUGAAAUGCGUAGAGAUGUGGAGGAAUACCGAUGGCGAAGGCAGCCCCCUGGGCCAAUACUGACGCUCAUGC
rnacentral:rRNA from 1 species